rnacentral:rRNA from 1 species
GGAUCAUCAUGUGGGUGCAGUUUGGUUUUUGUGCGGUGCACUUGUUGCCAUUGUACUGAUACGAUUGAUUGUGACUUUUGAGUCGGAGUUAGAGGGCAUAUCUUCGGAUGUGUAUCCUGGGGCCGUUGAAAAAGUUUGAGGUUAAUUGCUUUUUGUAAAGAGAUUGGCGGUGGGGGUAAGUGAUGGUUCGUUAAAGAGUUAAUGCUUGCAUUGGCUUUUAUACGGGUUGUUAGCUUGUCCUUCCCAAGAGUCCCUUUUAUCAGUAUAAAAGACAAUCACCUAUAUGUCCCGUCUUGAAACACGGACCAAGGAGUUUAUCGUAUAUGCGAGUCAUUGGGUGGCCAAAACCCAUUGGCGUAAUGAAAGUAAAGUACCUUCACCGGUAUGAUAUAUGAUUAUCAAUUCGUUUU